GGUCCGAGCGGAUGAAUGGAGCUUGCUCCAUGAUUCAGCGGCGGACGGGUGAGUAAUGCCUAGGAAUCUGCCUGGUAGUGGGGGACAACGUUUCGAAAGGAACGCUAAUACCGCAUACGUCCUACGGGAGAAAGUGGGGGAUCUUCGGACCUCACGCUAUCAGAUGAGCCUAGGUCGGAUUAGCUAGUUGGCGAGGUAAAGGCUCACCAAGGCGACGAUCCGUAACUGGUCUGAGAGGAUGAUCAGUCACACUGGAACUGAGACACGGUCCAGACUCCUACGGGAGGCAGCAGUGGGGAAUAUUGGACAAUGGGCGAAAGCCUGAUCCAGCCAUGCCGCGUGUGUGAAGAAGGUCUUCGGAUUGUAAAGCACUUUAAGUUGGGAGGAAGGGCAGUAAGUUAAUACCUUGCUGUUUUGACGUUACCGACAGAAUAAGCACCGGCUAACCUCGUGCCAGCAGCCGCGGUAAUACGAAGGGUGCAAGCGUUAAUCGGAAUUACUGGGCGUAAAGCGCGCGUAGGUGGUUCGUUAAGUUGGAUGUGAAAGCCCCGGGCUCAACCUGGGAACUGCAUCCAAAACUGGCGAGCUAGAGUAUGGCAGAGGGGUGGUGGAAUUUCCUGUGUAGCGGUGAAAUGCGUAGAUAUAGGAAGGAACACCAGUGGCGAAGGGCGACCACCUGGGGCUAAUACUGACACUGAGGUGCGAAAGCGUGGGGAGCAAACAGGAUUAGAUAACCCUGGUAGUCCACGCCGUAAACGAUGUCGACUAGCCCGUUGGGAUCCCUUUGAAGAUCUUAGUGGGCGCAGCUAACGCAUUAAAGUCGACCGCCUGGGGGAGUACGGGCCCGCCAG
rnacentral:rRNA from 1 species